rnacentral:lncRNA from 1 species
CACCAUCACCAAAACCUCAGCCUCCUUAUUAUUAUCACUCUCCACCUCCUCCAACACCAGUUGUUAAGCCACCAUACUACUACCAAUCUCCACCUCCUCCAUCUCCAAAACCUAAGCCUCCAUACUACUACCAAUCUCCUCCUCCUCCAUCACCAAAACCUAAACCUCCUUACUACUACCAAUCUCCACCUCCUCCAUCACCAAAACCUCAGCCUCCAUACUACUAUCAAUCUCCACCUCCUCCAACACCAGUUGUGAAGCCACCAUACUACUACCAAUCUCCACCUCCUCCAUCACCAAAACCUCAGCCUCCUUACUAUUACCAAUCUCCACCUCCUCCAACACCAGUUGUUAAGCCACCAUACUACUAUAAAUCUCCACCUCCCCCAUCACCCUCUCCUCCACCACCAUACUACUACAAAUCUCCACCACCACCAUCCCCAUCACCGCCACCUCCAUACUACUAUAAAUCUCCACCUCCACCAUCACCGGUUGUUAAGCCACCAUACUACUAUAAAUCCCCACCUCCCCCAUCACCCUCUCCUCCCCCUCCAUACUACUAUAAAUCUCCACCUCCAUACUACUACCACUCUCCACCUCCACCAUCACCAGUUGUUAAGCCACCAUACUACUACAAAUCUCCACCUCCACCAUCACCCUCACCUCCCCCUCCAUACUACUAUAAAUCUCCACCCCCACCUUCACCAUCCCCUCCUCCUCCAUACUAUUAUAAAUCACCACCACCACCAUCCCCAUCACCGCCACCUCCAUACUAUUACAAAUCCCCUCCACCUCCAUCCCCAUCUCCACCGCCUCCUUAUUACUAUCACAGUCCUCCUCCACCAUCUCCCACUCCUCAUCCUCCCUACUACUACAAAUCCCCUCCACCACCAACGUCCUAUCCUCCACCUCCUUACCACUAUGUGAGCCCUCCACCACCUUCUCCAUCUCCACCUCCACCAUACUAUUACAAAUCACCACCUCCUCCCUCCCCAGCCCCCGCUCCAAAGUACAUUUACAAAUCACCUCCAC